GACAGAGGGUGCAAACGUUGUUCGGAAUUACUGGGCGUAAAGCGCGUGUAGGCGGCUCGGAAAGUCGGAUGUGAAAGCCCUGGGCUUAACCUAGGAAGUGCAUUCGAAACUCCCGUAGCUUGAGUCCUGGAGAGGAAGGCGGAAUUCUCGGUGUAGAGGUGAAAUUCGUAGAUAUCGAGAGGAACACCGGUGGCGAAGGCGGCCUUCUGGACAGUGACUGACGCUGAGACGCGAAAGCGUGGGGAGCAAACAGG
rnacentral:rRNA from 1 species